UGCAGCCAUUCAACACUCAGGGUCCCCAGGACUAUUUAAGCAAGAACUGCAACAUCUUUCUCCUUUUGGUAGGAGGAGGUGUGGGAAAAGGGCUUCUUCUGUCACCUUUCUCUGGACCGGUGGAACUCUCUUUGUGGAUUACUCUAACUGAUGUGAUACUCCUCUGAAGUCUUUUAAAAAAGGAAAGAGAGAAAAUGGAGACUGCAGGAUCAGCGCCCCUCACAUGGAUCGAGUCUCCACAGGUUGGGGAAGAUCCCGAGAAGGAAGCGACGCUGCUGCAAGGAAUCAAAGAUCUCUGUCUCUGGGAGAUUAUCCUUGCACCCUGCCAUGGGAUGGGAAUGUGGCCGCCACACUGAGUGGAGAAAGCAGAGACCACUCGGAGUUCCAGUCCAGUUCCACUUAUGCAACGUUCCACAAGCUACCAAGUUCUGCAAAAUGAAGAUGAUCUGGAGUGAAAGAUGAACUUCAAGAGGAGGAAUGGCAGCUUUAGGUGAAGCGAGGCAGCACUCUGGCGGAUUGGUCGAUGGUGCGGCUCUACUCCUGGGAUGCCAGGUAAACCUCUGAGGCUGGGGGACAUCUGGGGGUCCCCUUCUGG
rnacentral:lncRNA from 1 species